rnacentral:lncRNA from 1 species
UCAGGGGCAGCCUCACAAUCCUCAAGCCCAGAGACUACCACGUGGGGGGUACAGAGUGGGUUCUGGACCACCAGCAUCAGCUUCACCCCUGAACCACUGACUCAGGCUCUCCGAGGCCAGGCUCACAAAUCUGCGUUGAUUAAGAAGCCUUUUUGGGUGAUUCUUAUAUAGAAUGAAGUUUGAGAGUUCCUGGAGAUAUCACACACUCAUGCAUACAUAUGACCUCCGAGAUGGCAUUUUCCUAAUCUUCCAUGACCAACCCCUCUUCUGCCAGCCCCUUUUUCUGUCAUUUCUUGAGUGGACAUUGGCGGUGACAGUCAAGGACAGUCGCAAUGGGGAGCAUCCUCGUGCCUGAUGAAACGGAAGGAGGACCAGUGAGGUCACUGCAAGCUGCCGGCCACCCCCGAGUCAUUCUUGUUAAGCUCUGCAGUGCGUCGCCCCCAUCCCAGCAGAGCUGCUCCCUCGCUUACAUUCUGCGCAGGCUCUCACCGGAUGGACGUUGUGUUUCUCUGGGAAGAAAGAGACUGAAGGAUUUUAGGAACCUUGCCAUUUAAAAAACAGAAGACAGGUGCAGCUCCCUAAGUUGACUUCCUGACCCAGAGCCUCAGGGUUUGGGGGGCGGGAGGGGAUGGGGGUGUGGUGGUAAAUUCAGCAGCACUACCAAGGUCUGGCUGUUGAGGCUUGGGGGCAUCCGUAAGACCAGCAAGCUGGCUUAACCUUGUUUGAAAAAAAGUUGCUUGCGUGGAAUUUUAGCCAGAAAAAACCAAUCAUGUAUAAGCAAGAAAAAAAAAAUACAUUUUAUGAUGAGAAAUAGUUGUGAAACAACUUUGAAUUUUACAUUUUUCAGAACUUAUGAUGAAUGGAAUAAUAUUUCUAAUUGUUCUUUUUUCAAGGAAAAAAAUUAUCCAGAUCAUUGACACCACUGAAAAGACUUGUCUUGGUUGGGUGGGGGUGGCAGGAGGGCAAAGACCCAGGGCUCCCCUGAGGGGUUCAGGGGGGCGCAUUGCCUCAGAGGAAGUUUCCAAGAAAUACAACUGCAUUUCUUAAUACAGUAUUUCAUCUGCACUUGAUAGAGCGUAGGUAACAUUCAUUCUGAAACAAAUGAUAAAAACUGUGCUACUCAUUUAGAAAUACAUUUUAAUAAAGUGCUAAAAAUAGAAGUAGAAGAUUAUUUGCUACCCAAAUGAAGCUUAAAAUUAGUGCCCUGGGCGUCCGACCACAACCACGCUGAGCACCUUGCCCCGUGCUCCCGUCGCCCUACCUGCUGUGCAGGCAGAAGGAAGGAGGCAGAAACCCGAGGAGCAAAUUCAUCUCAUCUCCCCUCUUAAACCCGCAAGAAUGCGCCUGCACUGAGGCCUGACCAAACUCUUCGAAUGGGUCUUGGAGGUCUCCAAGGUCUGACCCAGCCCACCUGCAAAUGUUUUCAAGCAGCAACAUAUGCUCUACCAGUGAAAUCUUGCAUGCCCUCUGCAAAAUGGCCCCAAGCAGAGGUGGACAAGGGAGAGCAUUGAGACCUGCCUGUGCCUGCCCCACUUGGCCCCCACCCCAGGCAUCUCCUCCAUGCCCCAUGGGACCUACCCUACCCCGUGCUGCUCCUCCAGCUCCUCUGAGCCCGUGCAAAGUUAGGUUACAGGUCUCCCUGUGUGUGUGGGGGGGGGGGGGGGGGAGGGGGGAGCCAGGAAAAGCUGCUCCUUUAUGUUCUCUCUGUCCCACACCAGAGCCACGUGCUGCCUGCCUCCUCCUUCACCUUGCCGAGGCUGCCGGCUUGACCUCAGACAUACCCCUGGUCCAGGGAACUCCCAGCCCCUGGGAGCAGAGUCCCCAUGGGACAGGAAGAGCUGCAGGGCUGCUGGGCCUUGCUCUCCUAGAAAGCAUGAAGCUUGAAUGGAUUCGGGACAGCCAUCCCACCUUGCAAAGUAGCCCCUUUGUGCCUCACCAGUCCUGACUUAUGUAACCUUUCAUUCAAAGGGGUGCUUUUCAGAAAGCCCAGGAUGUGGGCUCGAAAUAUAACUCUGGAGGCUGACCUUUAGCACAGUUUGUUAACAAGAAUUUGUUACUGUUAGAGCUGGCGCUGCAUCUCUUACACAGUUUAAAGGGUGUGGCAUGUGCCCAUAUAUGCCUAGCACUGGCCCAAUGACACUGCCUUUAUUGUCUAAAAAUGUUGGCAUCCAGCAACGUCAAGAAAAUUAGUCUUGACAUGGUGAAAAAAAGUGUUCCAUUCAAUAAGGCAGAGGGAACACAACCCAUUUGGUUCCUGGGGAAGGGCAGGUACUGGGGGAUCUGGUGACAACCGUCAUGGAUGCUCUGAAAUACGAACAUGGUUUGACAAGAGACAGGGUUUGAAGUCACCAGGGUGAGGUUGAUGAUUCAUCCAUCGAGAGGAGAAUUCUAGAAUGGAUUAAGUCGCAUGUGCAGGAAGCGAACCAUUUAAUAUAACUAAUUUAUAUUAAAUUAGCUUUAAUUUAUGGUUCCUGGAGCCUGGGUGCCCUCCUGAAGGUCUAGAAUAGGUCACCUGAAGGAUGUGGGUCGGAGUCAGGCUGGGCGUUCUGCUGGAGCUGCGACGGGUCAUGUUUUAGGAGGGGGGUUGUGCUGAGUACUAGUACCACCAGUAGGAAUGGUAAUAACUGGGUACUAGUAACCCUUUUCUAAACCUUUUAUAUGUGGUAACUCAUUUAAUCCCAACUCCAUCUCUGUGAGCCUCUACAAAGGAGGAGGGCGUGAGACGGGCAGUAACUUCCGUCCUGUGUCAGGGUCCCUGGGAGGCAGGAGGUCUCUGGAGUGUGAAGCGGGGUCAGUCCUUUGGGGAGUGAGGAGGCAGAGCUGGGCAGAGGAAGCUCUGAGCUGUGGUGCGGUCACCACAGAGGCCUCAGCCACCGCCUGGGGAGCUCCGGCUCUGAGGGGGGGCCCUUCUCAGUUGUCCCAAAUUGGAACAGGGGGAGCCCGGGGGAUGGAGGGGCGGCUCCCUCCAGGGCAACUAGGGAGUUUUGUAGGUCCGCAUGGGGGGUAACGAGGGGCUGGGGUUAGGACUCAGGUGGUGGGUGCGGUGGUGCAUUAGUGCCGAAGGCUGGUGUUCGUGUGGUGGGCAGCUAGCUAAUGGAAGAGCCCGCGUUCUUGGAGGCACAGGUUCCAUCGUGGUCCCUUCACCCCUGUUAGAGGGAAACAGCGUGGCUGACGAAUGAGCCUUUUGGCUCAGGAAUUCAUCAUCUCUAGAGGAGAAAGAACACUAAGCAAGAAAAAAGGCAGAAAAUCGUAAAA